rnacentral:rRNA from 1 species
CAUAGCGACUAUCGUGGCAUAUCAAUAAGCGGAGGAAAAGAAACUAACAAGGAUUCCCUUAGUAACGGCGAGUGAAGCGGGAAGAGCUCAAAUUUGAAAUCUUCAAGGUUCUACCUUGACGAAUUGUAGUUUAUAGAAGUGUUUUCUGUUAGUGGAGUGGCAAAAGUCCUUUGGAAUAGGACAUCAUAGAGGGUGAGAAUCCCGUAUUUGGUCGCUCCUCCUAGCGUUGUGAUACACUUUCAACGAGUCGGAUUGUUUGGGAAUGCAGUCCAAAAUGGGUGGUAAAUUUCAUCUAAAGCUAAAUAUUGGCGGGAGACCGAUAGCGAACAAGUACCGUGAGGGAAAGAUGAAAAGAACUUUGAAAAGAGAGUUAAACAGUACGUGAAAUUGUCAAAAGGGAAGCGUUUGACACCAGUGUUGUUUUUCCGAAAAUCAAUUACGAAUGUUUUGUUUUUAAGGAGUUAUGACUUCAUCGGCUUGCUUCUUUCUUUACGAAACUUUCUUAAUGCACUUUUCAGUUAACAAGUCAACAUCAAUUUCUUUUGUUGUAAAAGGGUAAGAGGAAGGUGGCUUACGCUUCGGCGUAAGUGUUUAUAGCCUUUUACCUCUGCAAUCGGAGAGAUUGAGGACAGCAGCGUAGACUCUUCGGGGUUAGAUACACUUGUGCUAAGCUAUAGCCUUGUAUAGACAACUUGUUGACUAUGCUCAGUCAUGUAGCUUACUCGCUUGUGCUAUUUUACCUACGCUUAGGAUGUUGAUAUGCAUGACUGAUAU